rnacentral:miRNA from 1 species
CAGCGCUCUCUUUAAAGAGCGCACAGAGUGUGUGUGUGGCUUUUGGGGGCUUUUCCCGAGGAGGGAGAAGGAAAAGCCCCCAAGAGCUGCACACACACUCUGUGCGCUCUUUAAAGGGAGUGCG